UAAAAGGUAAAAAUGUAUUUUUACCCUAGGGUAACUAAUCUAGACUUAGGGUUUAUAGUUAAGGGGUUGAGUUUUGGGGAUAUGGUUUCAAAUUUAAAAAAAUAAAAAUAAAAAAUUUCAAAACAAAAGAGGCUAUUUAGGUCAUUUUAAGGUUAUUUUUAUGACAAAAACUUAAAAAAAAACUAUUUGAGAGAAUUGCCCAAAAAAUUAACUUUAUAUUUUUUUUUAAAUGAAGAAGUGAGAACGAAACAAUUAAAUGAACACUUGCACGGUUUAGAUCUGAAAAACUGCUAGGAAACUGUUUUUCUCAUUUCCUAUUCAUCGAGA
rnacentral:lncRNA from 1 species